ensembl:lncRNA
UCAUUGUGCAGUGUGGUCAUUGUGGACUGUGGUCAUUGUGCAGUGUGGUCAUUGUACACUGUGGUCAUUGUGCAGUGUGGUCAUUGUGCAGUGUGGUCAUUGUGCACUGUGGUCAUUGUACACUAUGGUCAUUGUGCAGUGUGGUCAUUGUGCAGUGUGGUCAUUGUGCACUGUGGUCAUUGUACACUAUGGUCAUUGUGCAGUGUGGUCAUUGUGCAGUGUGGUCAUUAUACACUGGUCACUGUACACUGUGGUCAUUGUGCAGUGUGGUCAUUAUACACUGUAGUCAUUGUGCAGUGUGGUCAUUGUGGACUGUGGUCAUUGUGCAGUGUGGUCAUUAUACACUGUUGUCAUUGUUCAGUGUGGUCAUUGUGCAGUGUGGUCAUUAUACACUGUUAUCAUUGUGCAGUGUGGUCAUUGUGUACUGUGGUCAUUGUGGACUGUGGUCACUGUGCAGUGUGGUCAUUGUGGACUGUGGUCAUUGUACGGUGUGGUAAUUGUACACUGUGGUCAUUGUACACUGUGAUCAUUGUACACUGUGGUCAUUGUACACUGUGAUCAUUGUGGACUGUGGUCAUUGUACGGUGUGGUAAUUGUACACUGUGGUCAUUGUGCAGUGUGGUCAUUAUACACUGUAGUCAUUGUGCAGUGUGGUCAUUGUGGACUGUGGUCAUUGUGCAGUGUGGUCAUUGUACACUGUUGUCAUUGUGCAGUGUGGUCAUUGUGCAGUGUGGUCAUUAUACACUGUUAUCAUUGUGCAGUGUGGUCAUUGUGUACUGUGGUCAUUGUGGACUGUGGUCAUUGUGCAGUGUGGUCAUUGUGUACUGUGGUCAUUGUGGACUGUGGUCAUUGUGCAGUGUGGUCAUUGUGGACUGUGGUCAUUGUACGGUGUGGUAAUUGUACACUGUGGUCAUUGUACACUGUGAUCAUUGUACACUGUGGUCAUUGUACACUGUGAUCAUUGUGGACUGUGGUCAUUGUACGGUGUGGUCAUUGUACACUGUGGUCAUUGUACACUGUGAUCAUUGUGGACUGUGGUCAUUGUACGGUGUGGUAAUUGUACACUGUGGUCAUUGUGCAGUGUGGUCAUUGUGGACUGUGGUCAUUGUACACUGUGGUCAUUGUACACUGUGGUCAUUGUACACUGUGAUCAUUGUGGACUGUGGUCAUUGUACGGUGUGGUAAUUGUACACUGUGGUCAUUGUACACUGUGAUCAUUGUGGACUGUGGUCAUUGUACGGUGUGGUAAUUGUACACUGUGGUCAUUGUGGACUGUGGUCAUUGUACACUGUGUACAUUGUGGACUGUGGUCAUUGUACAUGAUGGGUAUUGAACACGGUGGUCUUUGUACACAGUGUACAUUGUGGACUGUGGUCAUUGUGGACUGUGGUCAUUGUACACUGUGGUCUAUGUGCAGUGUGGUCAUUGUACACUGUGAUCAUUGUGGACUGUGAUCAUUGUGGACUGUGGUCAUUGUGGACUUGGGGUUGGACAGGUCCACUGCUUUAUUACUGAGCAGGACAAAAUUUGGAUGACCCAGUAUUCCUGAGGGAGGAGAACAAUGAGAGAGAAAGAGUUGAAGACUCUAUGCUAUAUAUGCUGUAUGCUAUAUAUGCUAUAUGCCCUAUUUGCUGUUUCCGAGGUCAGUUUAGCAUUUCCUCCAGUAAUUGUUAAGGUGAGGAUUGGGGUAGGGGGAUCUGAUCCUAGAUCUGUACCUAAGGGAACCUUCACCAGGAGCGUGUAUGGAUGUCAUGUGGCUUGAAAAAAGGUUUACAUUAAAUGAUAGCCAUUUAGCAGACUUUGUUAUACGGAACAACUCGAUUUAAGUGCCUUGCCUAAUCGAGGACACAUCAGAUUCUUCAUCUUGUCGAUUCAGGGAUUCAAACCAGCAACCUUUUUAGUUACUGGCUCAACGCUCUUUACUGCUUGGCUACCUGCGGCCCUAUCAAAUCAAAUCAAAUUUUAUUUGUCACAUACACAUGGUUAGCAGAUGUUAAUGCGAGUGUAGCGAAAUGCUUGUGCUUCUAGUUCCGACAAUGCAGUAAUAACGAACAAGUAAUCUAACUAACAAUUCCAAAAAAACUACUGUCUUAUACACAGUGUAAGGGGAUAAAGAAUAUGUACA